AGAAAGCAAGGAUUCCAAGGUUGAAGAUGAUGAAGACGAUGAUGACAUUGAAGAAUUCUCAAAUGCAGCAGAGGGUACUGAUGCAAGCGAUGAAGACUGGGCUGCUUGAGAGUGUGAUCUGAGUUGUGGAUACUAGGCACAUAGAUGACAAGGCAAGGUCAUGCUAGUAAUGUGAUGAUGCCCUUUGACUUGUUAAGAAUUAAGAUAGAUGAACUGUGAGG